rnacentral:rRNA from 1 species
GUGGGGAAUAUUGGACAAUGGGCGAAAGCCUGAUCCAGCCAUGCCGCGUGUGUGAAGAAGGUCUUCGGAUUGUAAAGCACUUUAAGUUGAGAGGAAGGGCAGUAAGUUAAUACCUUGCUGUUUUGACGUUACCAACAGAAUAAGCACCGGCUAACUUCGUGCCAGCAGCCGCGGUAAUACGAAGGGUGCAAGCGUUAAUCGGAAUUACUGGGCGUAAAGCGCGCGUAGGUGGUUCAGCAAGUUGAAGGUGAAAUCCCCGGGCUCAACCUGGGAACUGCCUCCAAAACUACUGAGCUAGAGUACGGUAGAGGGUAGUGGAAUUUCCUGUGUAGCGGUGAAAUGCGUAGAUAUAGGAAGGAACACCAGUGGCGAAGGCGACUACCUGGACUGAUACUGACACUGAGGUGCGAAAGCGUGGGGAGCAAACAGGAUUAGAAACCCUGGUAGUCC